UUACUCCUUUUUCUUUUCACAGCCUGCAAGUUACUGGAUAUCUUAGAACCUUGCCGUCCAAAUCAGUCAACGAUGAGAAGUGGCAAAUGUCUGACAGAAAUCAGUGUGUUAAGACACCAGGGGCGUCACUAGGCCUUUUUUACUGGGGCACGUGCCCCAGUAAAAAUCAGCUGUGCCCCAGUAAGAAAAUGUUGAAAGAUUUUCGUAACAAACUAGUUUCUUUGGCAGAUCAUUUAUCUACUGUAAGUUGUAGGACAGAGUGUGUUUCAAACUUCUAUCGCCUCUUCUUUCUAACUAAUUUUCUGAUUGGUCUGGGAGAUUCUCACUGUAAACAUAGCGUGUGUGCGGCGUGCCGUGAGUCCAUUUUGCCUACUGGAGAGAUGAGUCUACUCUUUGGAUGAGUCAGAGAACUGGCUUUGGAUGAGUUAAGAUGGAUAUCAGACAAUUCUUCUCACGAAGCAGAGACAGGGGCAGGGAAACAGUGACAGAUGAGGAGGAGGGUGAGAGAGACACAGCAGAGGAGGUUGGAUAUGACCAGGACAUCCGCUCUGCGUAACUGAGGAAGCCACUUGGUGCAAAUCAAUUGUGCAAGCCACAACUUCAGUGUUAGCAUUAUUCCCUGAGAGCCAACAAAAUAAAUUAGCCACAUUCCAUGGGGUUCCCACUUGAUAGCGAUUUCCCCUGAUAAUAAUGGUGUGCGAUGACAGUUGCUAUGUAUGCUCGGUAUCUGGUGGUUUAGCCCUCAGUGUAUUAGCCCCAUCUUCCAGUGUUUUAGCCCCAUCUUCAUGUGGUUUAGCCCCAUGUUUAAAUGUGAAUAAAGUUGAUCAAUCAUAUGUUUAUGAUUGAUCUAAUUUUAAAGACAACAGAGCUUUUUUAAAGGAAAGUUUGCACUUGAAGCUUGGGCUUCCUAUGGUCAGAUGUUCGCGGUCAUGGCAAUGUGGCCGUCAGUCAAUAUUUAUGUAAUUUUUGUUAUACUUAAUUCUAAAAGCUCUCAUAAAUGACUGUUAUUGGUGUCUUAGAAAGUAAAAUUAUGAUCAAACUUAGUUUAAUUCAAUAAUGGGACUAAAUCACUUGAAGAAUGUAAG